UACGUAGGGGGCAAGCGUUGUUCGGAAUUACUGGGCGUAAAGGGCGCGUAGGCGGCACGGCAAGUCAGGAGUGAAAGCCCUGGGCUCAACCCGGGAACUGCUUUUGAAACUGCCGAGCUAGAGUGCGGAAGGGGCAACUGGAAUUCCCAGUGUAGCGGUGAAAUGCGUAGAUAUUGGGAAGAACACCUGAGGCGAAGGCGGGUUGCUGGGCCGACACUGACGCUGAGGCGCGAAAGCCGGGGGAGCGAACGGG
rnacentral:rRNA from 1 species